CCCCUAGACGUUCUGGGCCGCACGCGCGCUACACUGACCGGUGCAACAAGCAUCCGUCCUUGGCCGACAGGCCCGGGCAAUCUUUGAACGCCGGUCGUGAUGGGGAUAGACUUUUGCAAUUUUUGGUCUUCAACGAGGAAUUCCUAGUAAACGCAAGUCAUCAACUUGCAUUGAUUACGUCCCUGCCCUUUGUACACACCGCCCGUCGCACCUACCGAUUGAAUGGUCCGGUGAAGCCUCCGGAUUGGCGCGCACCUCGGUGCCGCCGAGAAGUUGGCUAAACCUUACCAUUUAGAGGAAGGUGAAGUCGUAACA
rnacentral:rRNA from 1 species